rnacentral:tRNA from 1 species
UCCCUGAUGGCUUAGACGGUAAAGCAUCUGCCUACAAUGAGGGAGACCCAGGUUCAAUCCCUGGGUUGGGAA